UUGAAAAAAGAAAUAAAGAAGCAAAAAUAAUUGAAAAAAAAAAUUCAAAAGGAGGAAGACUGCUUCUUU
rnacentral:rRNA from 12 species